ensembl:lncRNA
GGCUGGGAGUGGGAAUGGUGAUGGGCUGGGGUUGGGCUGAGACUCUCAGUGCAGUCCUAUCCCAUCAGGUUGUGCAGUGGAGGAGCCCAGCCCCGUGCCGGGCAGCACUCCAUGUUCCCGGCCUGCUGCGGCGCUCAGAGCACUGGCACAGCGCUCUGCUGGAGUUACUCAUCGCUCCCAUCAGCAGCCCUCACCCAGCGCCCAUCUGCGGCUGCAGGACAGCGCCGUUCAUCAGCGGCGUGAGUCGGGGCUGGAGUGUGUGCAGCGGGGCCUCAGCUGUGUGCCCAUCGCCGUGCAUCCCUCGCCGUGCUGCGUGUGCUGCAGGAUGGGGCUGCACACGAGCGUGCAAAGUGCUGGGAGCAGAAGGAGCUGCAGCCUGGUGAGAGAGCACAUCUCUUCCCUCGGCUCAGGAUGAGUUCUGCCUUGCAUUUUGGGCCCGCAUGUCCCAGCAGCCAGGUUGGGAUGGGGGGAUUCAGAGCACCUGGAAACCCCAGCGUGGCACAGUUGUUCAGCAGCCGCCUCCGAGCAGCUUGAUGGAUGGCGGGCCGGUCCCACCCGCAGCCAGAUGACAGCUCCUCGCAUCAGCCGCUGUGAUAAAUAGCAAUUACAGACAGGAGCACUGCCACUCACAUUUGCCUAAGUGAGGAGCGGAAUCAUACAUCUCCGCUGAUUACAUAUCAAUGAUGCGCUGGAGGCCUUCGCAACUUUUAGAUCCGCUUAAGAUAUGCCGCCCUGAUUUAGACGGCGAUUUGCAUACAAUUUACC